GUCCCGAGGACCCCUCGUGGACAUAUGGUCAAUUUGAAACAAUACAGAGAUGAUCAGCAGUUCCCCUGCAUAAGGAUGAACCGUUUUACAAAGAGAUUAAUUCAUUUUUU
rfam:Zygosaccharomyces rouxii strain CBS732 chromosome D complete sequence.